GGAGAGGUGGCAGAGUGGUCGAUCGCGGCGGUCUUGAAAACCGCUUUACCAGCAAUGGUAACGGGGGUUCGAAUCCCUCCCUCUCCG
rnacentral:tRNA from 1 species